rnacentral:lncRNA from 1 species
UGAGUUAUUUAUUAAUGACUAAACCAGGCGAUGCACUUUCUCCAGUUUAGACAAACCUCCUGAAUCUGCCAAUUAGAAAUUUAACAGGGGUGGUACCUUCUGGUUUCUUUCAGUAACCACUGCUCUUACAAAUAAAGGCUUGCACUUUUCUAGUCUGUAGCACUUAUAAAGUUAUCACAGCUUAAACGGAGUGUCACAUUAAAAACAGUUUUCAGGUCACCUGAGCCAUAGUGAUAGAUGUCUUUGAGGACCACUUCUGCCAAGUUGUGCUUCUCUAGAUUCUUCUGUGCCUGAAGGCUUGCAGAGAGUGCUUGGAAAAUACUUGCUAGACUUCUCCAGCUAUGGAAGGGUUUCUAAUGAUUUCUUAAGAGGGACCACACUUUGAGCUAUGCAGCUCAAGAGAGCUUAAAGAAAAAAUUAGCAGGGAAGUUGUCAGAGCUUUGAACAGAGCAGCCCAUGAAGACUGGGUACAUUGAGAUAAGAGCAAAGGAUAGAAUACCUGACUUUCCUGCCAGGAACAUUAAUUUAACUGGAGUUCAUACCGCAAGAGAAGCAUGUUCAACUGGAAAAGAGAUGGUGGAAAUCAGAAAAGAAUUAGUUUCAACAUUUUCUAAGAAAACAAGCAGAAAGUUUGAUAUCUGAAUUUAUGUUACAGAAGGAAUUCUUUCUGAAUAUGUCCUUGUGCUGCUUCAGACCCCUUCCAUGGAAAAGAGCUGUGAUUCCAGGAUGGAAGACAAGAAAAAUCUGCUGCCUAAAGGGAAGCAGCAAUCUGUGAGCUGCCUGCCUGCGAGAGAACAGACAGACAGUCAAGAUCCCUGUACUAGUGAGUGCCCAGAAGUCUGCUGCCACUGCAGGGCAUUGGUGCCUGGCAUACACUUGGUUAAGGCCUGAACUGCUGCCUGCUACACCUCUGAAAAGGAAUGAGAACAAACUUGUCAGCAGCUGUCUCCAGUGGUGCUUGUGGGUUUGCUUUGUGUUGCAGGCUCGUAUUGUGAGACCAGACUGCAGAUGUUUUCAGGGACAGUGUAAAUACUACAGCAGUUAGAUCAGCUCCAUUUUUCAAGUUUCUCUAAUGUUUUAUAUUCUGACACGUGAAAUUGGCUUUUAAUUGCUCCUAUGCAGUGGGUCUGUUUUCCUUUGCCUAGAGAGAAUAAAUGGAGACUGGAGCCUCUAAAGUGGUCUGAUAUCAGCCUGAGCUGAGGGACACAAACACACAGCAGGAAUGGCAAAAGAAUGACCCUGGUUUCGUUACACAGGAAGGCUCUAAGAACUUAAACUGUACAAUAUGUAUAAUGUACUAAGUCCAAUAUCUUAGCAACUGAAUUCAACAUCAUAACUGGAAUCAGUAAGAAAACAUAACAAUUGGAUUUAAAAUGAAUCCAUACCUCUGAAGUUGCAUACACACAAUCUAUAUACCAUAAUACAUUAAUAGGAAGACUGCAUUUUGUCCUUAGGAUUAUAAAUUGUUCACUUGGAAGUGCUCGAAGUUAGCAGCAGAUAGAAAGCAAUGAUAAAGUUCAGAAAAUGUGGGUCUCCAGGAUUAAUAUGCUUUAAAAUAUACCUAAUGUAUACUCUGAGUUCAGCACGUGUUGUUCACAUGGAAUAUUUUUAGUGGGAUGGGACAUUCCUCAAGAUACUGAGAGAAUGAGGUAGUCAUCACUCUCGACCAGAAUUCUUGUAUACAGAAAUUAAAUGAACUUGGCAAAACUCUUGUGCUACAACUAUGGCUACACGGUCAUUUUAACAGCACAUGCAUUUGUGAGAAAGAAAAUUAAUCUGAAGUUCUGCAUCACUACAGAGGAGUUUGAUGGCAAAUAAAGCCUCAGACAAUGAAUGUCUGUGAAUGAAAAAGAAUUACUUAUUAAAAAAUGUUCGCUGAAUUGUUUCUAUUAGCACUACACAUGAUUUUCUGAAAGUGCAACGAAAUUUUGGCUGCAAAAAUGAAACAUGAAAUUCCCACUGCCUGCCAGUUUUAAUCAAAUAUAGAACUCAGCUUGAAGGCUGAAAUGGUGCUGUGGGGAAGUAGGGCUGGCUGUCUCCCAUUAAAGGCCUGCAAGCGUUUUUUUGUUGUUAAGUUUGUG